GACGGAGGAUGCAAGCGUUAUCCGGAAUGAUUGGGCGUAAAGCGUGCGCAGGCGGUUUUGUAAGUCAGGUGUGAAAGCCCUGGGCUCAACCCAGGAAGUGCACUCGAAACUGCGAGGCUAGAGUACUGGAGAGGUUGGUGGAAUUCUCGGUGUAGAGGUGAAAUUCGUAGAUAUCGAGAGGAACACCGGUGGCGAAGGCGGCCAACUGGACAGAUACUGACGCUGAGACUCGAAAGCGUGGGGAGCAAACAGG
rnacentral:rRNA from 1 species